UACGAAGGGUGCAAGCGUUACUCGGAAUUACUGGGCGUAAAGCGCACGUAGGCGGAUCUGUAAGUCAGGGGUGAAAUCCCGGGGCUCAACCUCGGAACUGCCUUUGAUACUGCAAAUCUCGAGUCCGGAAGAGGUGAGUGGAAUUCCUAGUGUAGAGGUGAAAUUCGUAGAUAUUAGGAGGAACACCAGUGGCGAAGGCGGCUCACUGGUCCGGUACUGACGCUGAGGUGCGAAAGCGUGGGGAGCAAACAGG
rnacentral:rRNA from 1 species